CACGUAGGGGGCGAGCGUUGUCCGGAAUCAUUGGGCGUAAGGAGCGCGUAGGCGGUCCGGUAAGUCCGCUCUGAAAGUCCGGGGCUCAACCCCGGGAGGCGGGCGGAUACUGUCGGGCUAGAGUCCGGAAGAGGCGAGUGGAAUUCCUGGUGUAGCGGUGAAAUGCGCAGAUAUCAGGAGGAACACCAAUGGCGAAGGCAGCUCGCUGGGACGGUACUGACGCUGAGGCGCGAAAGCGUGGGGAGCAAACAGG
rnacentral:rRNA from 1 species